CAUUCCAUAGGCAGUGGCUAACAAGGUCAGAUUUUUUUCUUUACUCAAAUUUGUAUGUAGUUUAUGAUGCAUUGGAAAUUUUAUAUUAAAACUGCAAAAGCUUGUUGAUUUUGAUGAAUAUAAGGAAAAUAGACAAAACAUGGACAAAAUGUCUCAAUAUUUUGUUGAAUAAUCUGACAUAUCUAAGAAAAGAAUAAACCCUAGUCAUGUUUAAUAAAAUCCUUGAGCUUAGCACUAAACUUUAAAGAAAUUGAAAAUUAAGGUCCCGUUUGGUAGCCAUUUUUUUCAAAAUACAUUUUUUUUCUCUUCUUUUCAACCAUACAUUCUUUAUUAAAAUAAUAUUACACGUAAAUAAAAAAAUUUUUCUUAUUUCUCAACCACACAUUUCACAUCAAUUUACUAUUUUAAAAUGUAUUUUUACAUAAAAAUGCCUAUCAAACACCCCCUAAGUUCUUCGUCUCCUAGCAAAAUGUUUAAUAAGUUUAUAAAUAGUCCCGAUCUCUAUGAGACUUUGGAGCUUAGAGAGGUGUUUUUCAAUUUGUUGCAGAUGGGUUUUUUGGCCGAAGCAGGGCUGUGCAAAUUUUCGUAUUAAAUCAUUUGUGUGCCAUAUUUUACAAUUAUUCUUGCACUAUUGUCGGUAUUUUCUCGUUGCUUUUUAUUUGUUUGAAAGUUUGUCUUUUUUGUCUACUAUUGAAAAAAUUACUAGAUUUGUGGAGAUUUAGAGGUUAUGAAUGUUCUUAAUUUGUUAGAAGAAUUUGCUUACUGCACAGACUAGAUAUAAAGAUUUUAAUCGAUUUGAUUAUUGGAAACUUAUUGAAUGUGGUGAGAAUUUAAAAUUUCUGACUUUUAAAGCCAUUUUCUUGAAUAAAAGUUGUUGGUACUUGGAGCACAAAAGAAAAUGUGUUGAUGUUCUUAUGGAAUAUUUUUUGAGAAAAGGAAAUGCAGUUAUAUUCUUACAUAUAGCUGUUGAGAAGUGUCUUAACAGGACUCACAGGAUACGAGAGUUAAAAGUGUUGUGAUCAACUUGUUGGUUUUGUUAUAACACACCGUCAAAUUUUGCAUUUAUGUUGAUUUUGGAGGGUCUAAUUUAUGAACUUCACCUUGAGCUUUGACAAUCAUAGGACCGACCCUGCCAUUUCUUGAGUAUUCAUAAACGCUUCCCAACCAAUUGGUUAGAUAAUUAGAUUAUUUAUAUGUUUAAGUUAUUAAUAUAAUUAAUCAAUUUCUAUAUAAUUGUGUUAUUCGAAUAAAGUUAGCAUUAAAAUCUAUUUGAAUAUUUAAUCCUCGUGUGAUUGAUAAUUAGACUCAUGUCUACUUUUAAUACUUGUUUAUGACUGUAUUCACUUCAGAAAUUUUAGUGCAAUAAUUACAAACAAAGCCUCAUUUAACCUGAGACAAAGGCGAGUGAAAUUGAAUAAUGUGAAUGGUCUUGAAUAAUGAACAAAUGAUGUGUAUUUAUUAUAGAUCAUGGUGUAAUUCUAUAAGGAUUAUGAUGCCAAUGGAUCGAUAAAAUUUAUUAUAACAAAUGAUAACAAAUGCCAACUCAAGUUCCAUGGAGAAACAAGCUCUUCAGGAUUUCGAUAUCUUCUCUUAAGAAAGUCUAAGAAAUAGAGUCGUGCAUGCCGGCCGAAAGAAUUUUUCAAAUGCUUUUCAAGCAUGUAUGUAAGAGUUAAUUCCAAGACUUCAUGGAACCAUGUAUACAAGAAUGGAUCAAGGGUGGCCUCGCAUAAUGAACUGAAGGGAAGAUAUAAAUAUACAUCAUUUAACAUGUAGGAGAAGGAAUUCUAUGAACAUGAUGUAAGAAAUUUAAAUGGCAUGCUAUUUUUCCUUUCUAAUACUAUCGAAUCGAUGUUAUUACUUGAAUUUCACUUCUAUUUCCAAUAUGUAUUUCGUAGAUUAAGGUAAGGAUAUUGAGCUGCCAAGGGCAUAUAUGGAUGUGCUUAUUCCUCGCAUCAUGAAGAGAUUCAAGUGUUGGAAAAAAUUGAGUGA
rnacentral:lncRNA from 1 species